rnacentral:rRNA from 1 species
GAGUUUGAUCAUGGCUCAGAACGAACGCUGGCGGCAUGCCUAACACAUGCAAGUCGAACGAGACCUUCGGGUCUAGUGGCGCACGGGUGCGUAACGCGUGGGAAUCUGCCCCUUGGUACGGAAUAACUCAGGGAAACUUGAGCUAAUACCGUAUGAUGUCUUCGGACCAAAGAUUUAUCGCCUAGGGAUGAGCCCGCGUUGGAUUAGCUAGUUGGUGGGGUAAAGGCCCACCAAGGCGACGAUCCAUAGCUGGUCUGAGAGGAUGAUCAGCCACACUGGGACUGAGACACGGCCCAGACUCCUACGGGAGGCAGCAGUGGGGAAUAUUGGACAAUGGGCGAAAGCCUGAUCCAGCAAUGCCGCGUGAGUGAAGAAGGCCUUAGGGUUGUAAAGCUCUUUUACCCGGGAAGAUAAUGACUGUACCGGGAGAAUAAGCCCCGGCUAACUCCGUGCCAGCAGCCGCGGUAAUACG